UACGAGGGGGGCAAAUGUUGUUCGGAAUCACUGGGCGUAAAGGGAGCGUAGGCGGGUUUUUAAGUCAGGUGUUUAAUCCCAGGGCCCAACCCCGGACAGGCACUUGAAACUGGGAAUCUUGAAUAGUGGAGAGGUCAGUGGAAUUGGGGGUGUAGCGGUGGAAUGCGUAGAGAUCCCCAAGAACACCCGUUGCGAAGGCGGCUGACUGGACACAUAUUGACGCUGAGGCUCGAAAGCAUGGGGAGCAAACAGG
rnacentral:rRNA from 1 species